GCCGGGCGUGGUGGCGCGCACCUGUAGUCCCAGCUACUCAGGAGGCUGAGGUAGGAGGAUCACUUGAGUCCAGGAGUUCUGGGCUGCAGUGCGCUAUGCCAAUCGGGUGUCCACACUAAGUUUGGCAUCAAUAUGGUGACCUCCCGGGAGCAGGGGACCACCAGGUUGCCUAAGGAGGGGUGAACCGGCCCAGGUUGGAAACGGAGCAGGUCAAAACUCCCGUGCUGAUCAGUAGUGGGAUCGCGCCUGUGAAUAGCCACUGCACUCCAGCCUGGGCAAUAUAGUGAGACCCUGUCUCU
rnacentral:SRP_RNA from 1 species